GCGGGCGUAGUCUAGUGGUAAAACCCUGGCUUCCCAAGCCAGAGAUGUGGGUUCGAUUCCCAUCGCCCGCU
rnacentral:tRNA from 1 species